rnacentral:tRNA from 1 species
CCAGAGUGGCUAAAUGGGACUGACUGUAACUCAGUUGCUUCGGCUUCGUAGGUUCGAAUCCUGC